rnacentral:lncRNA from 1 species
AUGGGCAGGCUGUUUUUUGGCUUUCUCCUCCAGGAUCCCACCUGGCUCUCAUCUGCUUGGGCCCACAGCUCUGUAGCAUCAUACAGACACUCAUCCUUUUGCACAGACCCUCUGUUUCCACAGGUGCUGUUUGGGGUGGAUUUGCAGCUACAAGAACCAUCUGCAGGCUCAGGCAGGGUUUGCAAGCCAUGCUCUGCGCGGUCACGGCCAGAGACUCUCAGCACUCCCCGACACGUACUGCUUUCCUGGAGCAGCCCCUUGGUGAUCAAAGAAAUUGGAAACCACUGUGCAAAAGAAAAAUACUGCCAAAGGACACGAGCCAGGAGGAGGAGCAGCACAAAGGGCACAGCAAGGGAGACCAGCAUUCACGCAAUGUCCUUGACCAUCUCAUCUCAAAUGCAGCAUCCUUCAUCUCCAACCUUCUGCCAGUGGGAUCCACAAGGGCAGAUUUUCCCAGUUGUGCAGGAAACCUGCAGGACCAAUUCCCUGCUGACCUCAACUCUUCUGCUCUCAGUGAGGUCAGACUUGACCUAGAAAAGUAGUUUCUGUUGCUGGGUUCAUGGGAUCAUGUUUUGUUUUUCAUGUCUGUGGUUUAGCUGCAAAAAUAAAGCUGUUGCAAAAUUCCUGGCUAGUCUUUCC